rnacentral:rRNA from 1 species
CCUACGGGAGGCAGCAGUGAGGAAUAUUGGUCAAUGGGCGGAAGCCUGAACCAGCCAAGUAGCGUGCAGGAUGGAGGUGCCAAGCAUUGUAAACUUCUUUUGUCAAGGGACAAAAUCAGGCUCGAGAGCCUGACCGAGGGUACUUGAAGAAAAAGCAUCGGCUAACUCCGUGCCAGCAGCCGAGGUAAUACGGAGGAGGCGAGCGUUAUCCGGAUUUAUUGGGUUUAAAGGGUGCGUAGGCGGGCUGUUAAGUCAGCGGUAAAAGCCCGGGGCUCAACCCCGGCGAGCCGUUGAAACUGGCUGUCUUGAGAUGUCGAGAGGUAUGCGGAAUGCGCAGUGUAGCGGUGAAAUGCUUAGAUAUUGCGCAGAACUCCGAUUGCGAAGGCAGCAUACCGGCGCCAGACUGACGCUGAGGCACGAAAGCGUGGGGAUCGAACAGGAUUAGAUACCCGGGUAGUC